rnacentral:piRNA from 1 species
CGAAAAUUCAUGAAUUCACUA